AGCGAACGCUGGCGGCAGGCCUAACACAUGCAAGUCGAACGAAGUCUUCGGACUUAGUGGCGGACGGGUGAGUAACACGUGGGAACGUGCCUUUAGGUUCGGAAUAACUCAGGGAAACUUGUGCUAAUACCGAAUGUGCCCUUCGGGGGAAAGAUCUAUCGCCUUUAGAGCGGCCCGCGUCUGAUUAGCUAGUUGGUGAGGUAAAGGCUCACCAAGGCUACGAUCCGUAGCUGGUCUGAGAGGAUGACCAGCCACAUUGGGACUGAGACACGGCCCAAACGCCUACGGGAGGCAGCAGUGGGGAACUUUGCGCAAUGGGCGAAAGCCUGACGCAGCCAUGCCGCGUGGAUGAUGAAGGUCUUAGGAUUGUAAAAUCCUUUCACCGGUGAAGAUAAUGACUGUAGCCGGAGAAGAAGCCCCGGCUAACUUCGUGCCAGCCGCCGCCGUAAAAC
rnacentral:rRNA from 1 species